UAAAAGGUAAGCUAAAACUAAGCUAAUAGGUUCAUACCCUGUAGAUGAAAGCUUCACUCUCUCCCUUUUUA
rnacentral:tRNA from 1 species